rnacentral:miRNA from 14 species
GAGCAUUGCAUGCUGGGAUAUG